UUUUUUUUAAACAAACUCAAAGAUCUCAGUACGAUGACAUUAGGCUAUGUUUUGAGAAAAAACAAAACAACCAAACUCAUCUUACUUGUCCAUCAUCUUUUACCAUGAUGUUACUGUUGUGGCGAUCACCAAUGCCCAGUAUAAAGGUAGCAACACAGUAGCCAGCACAAGAACGUGUAAACAGGUCGAUAGCUGCAUCAUACCUAUUGAAAACAAAAAGAGGUGACAUUUUCCUACAGAUAUUCUAACUAUAAAAAUGUGCAAAUCUGGUUCCUCCCCAGCUUCCUUUUGAGCAAGAAUCAACUGCUUCGUUAAGAGAAGACAAAAGAAUCCCUGGACUUCUUCCUUCCUUUGAUGAAGUGAUAAAUUCAGCAUACUCUGACAACAGAAGCAAUUACAGACCUAUGCAGAGAAGAAGAACAGUUACAGCUUAAAGACAAGACCACACAACGGUGCCCAAAGUGAAGCUAUACCUGUAACAUAGAACCAUAAAAUCAACCAGGUUGGAAGAGACCUCCAAGAUCAUCCAGUCCAACCUAGCACCCAGCCCCAUUCAAUCAACUAGACCAAGGCACCAAGUGCCUCAUCCAGGCUUUUCUUGAACACCUCCAGGGAUGGCGACUCCACCACCUCCCUGGGCAGCCCAUUCCAAUACCAAUCACUGUCUGUGAAAAACUUCCUCCUAACUUCCAGCCUAGACCUCCCCUGGCACAGCAUGAGACUGUGUCCCCUUGUUCUGUUGCUGGUUGCCUGGGAGAAGAGACCAACCCUUAAAAUAAUCAUUGGUGGAUUAAAAAAAUUUACAAGAAUAUGUAUCUAUUACUGCCGAGCUUUUGAAACUUCAAAGAAUGACUUCUAUCAGACUGUAUAUUCAAACUCUCAACCAACACAUAAGUGAUAAUAAAAUUAAUACUUUCCAUAAAAA